AGAACAUUAUAGGUCACAGUGGAUAAGGAUCCUUAUUUGUUUUAUUUUCUAUUUAUUUCCACCCCCUCAUGUUUUGAAAUAAUUUAAGGCAGCUUUAUUGACUCAUUGAAUGCUUGUUAUUAUAGUUAUUAAAUUCUCAAAUUACCUAACCUGUUUCUAGGCACAUAAAAGAUUCUUAAUACAUCAAUGAGAUAAGACUCACAUUACAUUAACUCAGAAAAACAGCCAAUCUAAUUAGUGAGACACAGAAAAUAAUAACAAACAAUUCCUAGGGUUUAGCUUUUCUCUUAUAAUAUUUAUGAUAGCUUUAUACUUUCCAGACUCUCACAUACAUACAUAUGUCAUUCAUCGAUCAUGAUUUACUUUUUAUGGCUCUAGCCUACCUACCCAUUGCUCAGUCCAGACUAAUAUCUGGCACUAAAGAAGGUAAAAUCAUCCUUCUAAAAUGCUGCAUUAUUUCUAAAAUUCUGAAAGAGAGAUUACAUUUUGUGAAGCACAGAAUGUCCAACCAGGGAGUGACUUGGUCAUUUUGAGCUAACCAAGUAUCUCAUAUCUAUGAUUUGAGGUUACAUUGUUUGCAAAAACAGAACUUCAAUUGUCAAUGCUACAAUUUUUCCUGGCCUCUGUUAUGCUCAGAACUUACAAAUAUUAUAUUUAUAAUGAGGCUACCUAAAAAGCAACAUGACCUUUAGAUCCACAGAUCAAUCUUCAGGUGAAAAUCUGAGAAAAUGAUGAUGAUAUGGAACAUUACAGUGAGGAGUAACUCUAAAACAGAAUGCCCAUGUGGCAGUCAUAAAAAGGAACUACAUACUUUUUCUACUCAGAACCUGUAUUUUAAAGAUGUCAACAGCCAGGGUCAACAACCCAUUUGUGUUAUGUCUCCUGUGUCUAUUCAAAAUGAGAAGUUCAAGGAAAUUCACUCGGUAUUUUAAAUAAACACUGCUGGUUAAUGUCCUUACCCCAGAACAAGGAAAAAGUCAAGAGACUCUGUUCCUAGCAGGUAAAAAAAUGCUUCUUGCAUCCAAAAAAAUGUAAACUCUCUUAUAUAAAUUAUAAAUUUUCUCAUUAAAUAGCUUAGUUAACAAAAGAAAAGCCCUCAAAAUGUACAAAGAUGAAAGGUCAUUUAAAAGACAAAAAAAGGACAGUAUGGUGGUUUACGCCUGUAAUUUCAACACUUUGGGAGACCUAGGUGGGUGGAUUCCUUGAGCUCAGGAGUUCGAGACCAGCCUGGGCAAAAUGGCAAAACCCUGUCUCUACCAAAAAUACAAAAAUUAGCCAAGAAACUGAGGUGGGAGGAUCACUGGAACCCAGGAAGUCAAGGCUGCAUUAAGCCAUGAUCGUGCCAUUGCUGUCUCCAGCCUGAGUGACAGAGUGAGAUUCUGUCUCUAAAUAAAUAAAUGCAAAAGGAAAUUAUUUAUUUGUGCUAAGACACCAUAAGUUAUAUAAUGCUCUAAAAGUAAAACGAGAUCUUAAAAGUAUCAAGCCCCAGUGCCCCAUGCCCCUACCUCUGCUCUAGAAUGCUAAUAGGAGGAUGUCUUCGAUGAAGGUAUCAUCUCCUUACUGAAUGCUGUCAACAAAAGAGUCAAACUCUGUAAAAUAUUUGAAGAGAUUUAUUCUGAGCCAAAUAUGAGUGACCAUGGCCUGUGACACAGUCCUCAGGAAGUCCUGAGAACAUGUGCCCAAGGUGGUCGGGGCGCAGCUUGGUUUUAUACAUUUUAGAGAGGCAUGAGACAUCAAUCAAAUACAUUUAAGAAAAUACAUUGGUUUGGUCCAGAAAGGCAGGAGGGACAACUCACGGGAUAAGAAUGCUUCUAGGCUUACAGGGGUCUGUUUCCUGUAACUCUGUGCCUCCUUUCAAUUAAGAUCAAACGGAAUUUAACAUGAAGCG
rnacentral:lncRNA from 10 species